CCAAUAGCGUAUAUUAAAGUUGUUGCAGUUAAAAAGCUCGUAGUUGAACUUCGGGGUUCACCCAUUGGUCAGGCUUAAUUGUCUGCACUGGUGAGAUGAGUCUCUACCUUCUGAGGAACUUUCAUGCCAUUUAUUUGGUGUGGUUGGAAAUCAGGACUGUUACUUUGAAAAAAUUAGAGUGUUUAAAGCAGGCUAACGUCUGAAUACAUUAGCAUGGAAUAAUGAAAUAGGACGGACUGAUUCUAUUUCGUUGGUUUCUAGGAUCACCGUAAUGAUUAAUAGGGAUAGUUGGGGGCAUUAGUAUUCAAUUGUCAGAGGUGAAAUUCUUGGAUUUAUUGAAGACUAACUACUGCGAAAGCAUUUGCCAAGGAUGUUUUCAUUAAUCAAGAACGAAAGUUAGGGGAUCGAAGACGAUCAGAUACCGUCGUAGUCUUAACCAUAAACUAUGCCGACUAGGGAUCGGAUGAUGUUAAUUUUUUAAUGACUCAUUCGGCGCCUUACG
rnacentral:rRNA from 1 species